rnacentral:rRNA from 1 species
AUUGAACGCUGGCGGCAGGCCUAACACAUGCAAGUCGAGCGGAUGAAGGGAGCUUGCUCCUGGAUUCACCGGCGGACGGGUGAGUAAUGCCUAGGUAUCUGCCUGGUAGUGGGGGAUAACGUCCGGAAACGGGCGCUAAUACCGCAUACGUCCUGAGGGAGAAAGUGGGGGAUCUUCGGACCUCACGCUAUCAGAUGAGCCUAGGUCGGAUUAGCUAGUUGGUGGGGUAAAGGCCUACCAAGGCGACGAUCCGUAACUGGUCUGAGAGGAUGAUCAGUCACACUGGAACUGAGACACGGUCCAGACUCCUACGGGAGGCAGCAGUGGGGAAUAUUGGACAAUGGGCGAAAGCCUGAUCCAGCCAUGCCGCGUGUGUGAAGAAGGUCUUCGGAUUGUAAAGCACUUUAAGUUGGGAGGAAGGGCAGUAAGUUAAUACCUUGCUGUUUUGACGUUACCAACAGAAUAAGCACCGGCUAACUUCGUG